GCGCCCGUAGCUCAGUGGAGAGAGCAGGCGGUUUCUACCCGCCGUGUCGGGGGUUCGAUUCCUCCCGGGCGCG
rnacentral:tRNA from 1 species